rnacentral:rRNA from 1 species
UACGUAGGGGGCGAGCGUUGUCCGGAUUUAUUGGGCGUAAAGCGUCCGCAGGUGGCUGUGUAAGUCUGCUGUCAAAGAGCAAAGCUCAACUUUGUAAAGGCAGUGGAAACUACACGGCUAGAGUGCGUUCGGGGCAGAGGGAAUUCCUGGUGUAGCGGUGAAAUGCGUAGAGAUCAGGAAGAACACCGGUGGCGAAGGCGCUCUGCUAGGCCGCAACUGACACUGAGGGACGAAAGCUAGGGGAGCGAAUGGG